AAAGGAAUUGACGGGGGCCCGCACAAGCGGUGAGCAUGUGGUUUAAUUCGAUGCAACGCGAAGAACCUUACCUGGCCUUGACAUACUAGAAACUUUCCAGAGAUGGAUUGGUGCCUUCGGGAAUCUAGAUACAGGUGCUGCAUGGCUGUCGUCAGCUCGUGUCGUGAGAUGUUGGGUUAAGUCCCGCAACGAGCGCAACCCUUUUCCUUACUUGCCAGCAUUUCGGAUGGGAACUUUAAGGAUACUGCCAGUGACAAACUGGAGGAAGGCGGGGACGACGUCAAGUCAUCAUGGCCCUUACGGCCAGGGCUACACACGUGCUACAAUGGUCGGUACAAAGGGUUGCUACCUAGCGAUAGGAUGCUAAUCUCAAAAAGCCGAUCGUAGUCCGGAUUGGAGUCUGCAACUCGACUCCAUGAAGUCGGAAUCGCUAGUAAUCUCGGAUCAGAAUGCCGCGGUGAAUACGUUCCCGGGCCUUGUACACACCGCCCGUCUC
rnacentral:rRNA from 1 species